CGGCAAAUGGAUUCUUGCGUACACGUCAUUCUCGGGUCUCUACCCAUUGAUGUCUAGGAGUACAUUUCCAUUGGUCAAAGUGGAAGAAAUCUCACAGACAAUUGAUUCAGAGAACUUCACCGUCCAAAACUCCGUCCAGUUUUCCGGCCCUCUAGCCACCACUUCCAUUAGUACCAAUGCAAAGUUUGAAGUUCGAAGUCCCCAGCGUGUACAGAUCAAGUUUGAAGAAGGUGUCAUUGGAACUCCCCAGCUGACAGAUUCGUUAGUGAUACCAGAAAAUGUAGAGUUUCUUGGGCAGAAGAUUGACCUUUCACCAUUCAAUGGCAUCAUAACCUCCAUCCAAGACACCGCUUCAAAUGUGGCCAAGACGAUAUCAAGCCAACCACCAAUCAAGUUCUCGAUUCCAAACAGCAAGGCCGAGUCUUGGUUGCUAACUACUUAUCUUGAUGAAGAUCUUCGAAUUUCGCGAGGAGAUGGCGGUAGCGUGUUCGUACUCAUCAAGGAAGGCAGUGCUCUCUUAUCCCCCUGAAUACCUCUUCUCUCCUCACUAUCGUCUGCUGUUCCAAGGGGAUAAUAGAGUUCUAUAAAGGGUUCAUAGGAAACUAAAUUAUUAUCUAAAGAUGCUGUUAAAGGUACUGUAGUUUCUUCUCAGAUAGUGAAUGGCAUUGCCUUAUGUUAAAAGGGCCAGCUUCAAUUAGCCAUGUCUUCUGUUAAAUUAAUAGUAGCCACUCGAGUACCUUUUGGGAAAAGAAACACCAUCAAUCUUGUACCCCAUGAUACAAAAAUCAAAGUUAAUCAAAAGGUGUG
rnacentral:misc_RNA from 1 species